rnacentral:rRNA from 1 species
GACGAACGCUGGCGGCGUGCUUAACACAUGCAAGUCGAACGGAAAGGCCCUGCUUUUGUGGGGUGCUCGAGUGGCGAACGGGUGAGUAACACGUGAGUAACCUGCCCUUGACUUUGGGAUAACUUCAGGAAACUGGGGCUAAUACCGGAUAGGAGCUCCUGCUGCAUGGUGGGGGUUGGAAAGUUUCGGCGGUUGGGGAUGGACUCCCGGCCUAUCAGCUUGUUGGUGGGGUGGUGGCUUACCAAGGCUUUGACGGGUAGCCGGCCUGAGAGGGUGACCGGCAACAUUGGGACUGAGAUACGGCCCAGAAUCCUACGGGAGGCAGCAGUGGGGAAUAUUGAACAAUGGGGGGAAGCCUGAUGCAGCAACGCCGCGUGCGGGAUGACGGCCUUCGGGUUGUAAACCGCUUUCGCCUGUGACGAAGCGUGAGUGACGGUAAUGGGUAAAGAAGCACCGGCUAACUACGUG